ensembl:lncRNA
CUGUCCUUUCUCCCUCUAUCCCUCUCCUCUCUCCCUACGGGGUGAAGAAGGUCACAUGUUGGCUUAUUGUUUAUUAUCCCCCCACCCACUCCUCACUGCCUACGGGGGACUAUUGGAAAGCACUAUAUUGGGAAUAGGGCUCUGGGCUAUAGUAGUGCACUAUAUAGAUAACAUGACUCUAGUCUAUAGUAGUACACUAUAUAGGGAAUAGGGCCCUGGUCUAUAGUAGUACACUAUAUAGGGAAUAGGGCCCUGGUCUAAAGUAGUGCACUAUAUUGGGAAUAAGGCCCUGGUCUAAAGUAGUGCACUAUGUAGGGAGUAGGGCCCUGGUCUAAAGUAGUGCACUAUAUAGGGAAUAGCGCUCUGGUCUAUAGUAGUACACUAUAUAGGGAAUAGGGCUCUGGUCUAUAGUAGUGCACUAUAUAGGGAAUCGUGUGCCAUAUGGGACACCUCCGGCGACUCCUGUUCAAAUCAUUAUUAUUGUAAUUCCUGCUCAGCGUUGGUAGACGGUCGUCUGUCUGUCUGUUUGAGAAGCUUUACAUUGCCAAAUAAUUUUUGUACAGCUUCUUUUUCUUUUCUAACUAUCUGAAGCCGAGCUAUGAUCAGGGAACUCAUAGGUGAUAUCACUCUACCAAGAAAGACCCCGCAUUAAUGAGAACAACUUAUUUAUGCAAUGACAUAAUGCUCUCUGUACCUAGACGGACAGACACAGGACAGGUUGUUGACAUAAUGCUCUCUGUACCUGGACAGACAGACACAGGACAGGUUGUUGACAUAAUGCUCUCUGUACCUGGACAGACAGACACAGG